AUGGGAACAGACGAAAAGUACAGAAUUGGUGUUACCACUGAAGUUCAUGAUCAUUUCCUAAAGAUAAUUCCUGUUAAAAUGUCAUAUGAUGAUGUCAAAGCUUUAGCAGGAAAAAGAAUUGCAUCGUUUUGUAAAGACUACACGACCCUGUAUGCUGAAGUUACACGGUUGAAAAAUCACCACAGACAGAAAAGAGGUACUGCAUUUAGAUACUCGUUCAUCAGAAGGAAUCCAAGUUGCAUUAUAUUGGCAAACAAGAAAGACAAAAGUUCAUUAUAUAAACACCAAUUAGAAAGAAAUAUAAAAAGCAAAUACAAAUUUUGAUAAGAAUAACGCUUUUUGGUAUUAAUAUUUUCAGAUAAUGUUAAUUCAUAGAAUUGAAGUUUCUGUAUUUUAUAUUUUACAAACGAAAAUUUCAUUAAUUUCCAAACAUUUAUUUGAUUAUGAAACUUUAGUAUUUCGAUUUAUAUAAAUAUUAAAUUGCAGGUGCACUUGGCACAUACUUUGAGGAUGUGGCGACCUGGUGUCUAUUUUCCAGGUGUGCGUUUCGUUCAUCAGAAUUCAAUGCCGCCCUAGGUGCAUCUGAAAAAUAAAUGUAGACCUGCUGGGAGAUGUAGGUUUGAUGAAGUAUCGAUAUAUUACAAAUGGAAAUAACUAUACAAUAUUCACAGAAUGACAAUUACGUUGUGUGUGUAUGCAAAAAAAAUGGUUAUGCGAGUAUGUUUACUUUAUGUACUUUAAGUUUAUAGUAAUAAAAAAAAUAGAAAUA